rnacentral:misc_RNA from 1 species
UUUCCGUAGGUGAACCUGCGGAAGGAUCAUUAAAAAAUAUCACAUUUGUUUGUGAUUUAAUAAUCAUCCUACCCUUUGUGAAUUUGUUUUUGUUUGAAAUUUAUGUUGUCUAUCCCUGGAUUAUGAAAGAAAAGUUGUAAAAGACUUUUUUUUCAUUCUAGGGAAUAGGCUUUCAUAGACAUUUUUUUAAAUUAAACUUUUUGUAUUCAUUUGUCUAAAAUUUAUUUUUAAAUAAUUUAAAAACAACUUUUGACAAUGGAUCUCUUGGUUCUCGCGACGAUGAAGAACGCAGCAAAAUGCGAUAAGUAAUGUGAAUUGCAGAAUACGUGAAUCAUCAAAUUUUCGAACGCAUAUUGCACUUUUUUAGUUUACUAAAAAAGUAUGUCUGUUUGAGUACCAGUAAAAUAUUCUCAUAAAAACUAUUGUCUUUAUGGUUAUGAGUGUUUUACAACGAUAACAAGUUGUUUCACUUUAAAUUGAUUUUUUUAAUAAGCCAAUUUGGUUUUAUUUUUAAAAUUGGAUAAAAUUUUCCCGUAAAAAGGAAUAAACUUUUCAGUUUUAAAGUUAAAACUUAAAUUGACCUACAAAAAAGGAAAUUUAAUUAUAAAACUAACUUGAUCUCAAAUCAGAUAAGAGUACCCGCUGAACUUAAGCAUAUCAAUAAGCGGAGGAAAAGAAACUAACAAGGAUUCCUUAGUAACGGCGAGUGAAGCGGGAAGAGCUCAAAUUUGAAAUCUUCAAGGUUCUACCUUGACGAAUUGUAGUUUAAAGAAGUGUUUUCUGUUAGUGGAGUGGCAAAAGUUCUUUGGAAUAGGACAUCAUAGAGGGUGAGAAUCCCGUAUUUGGUCAUUCCUUCUAGCUUUGUGAUACACUUUCAAAGAGUCGGACUGUUUGGGAAUGCAGUCCAAAAUGGGUGGUAAAUUUCAUCUAAAGCUAAAUAUUGGCGAGAGACCGAUAGCGAACAAGUACCGUGAGGGAAAGAUGAAAAGAACUUUGAAAAGAGAGUUAAACAGUACGUGAAAUUGUCAAAAGGGAAGCGUUUGACACCAGUGUUGUUUUUCCGAAAAUCAAUUAUAAAUGUUUUGUUUCUGAGGAGUGAUGACUUCAUCGGCUUCCUUCUCUCUUCACGAAACUUUUGUAAUGCACUUUUCGGUUAACAAGUCAACAUCAAUUUCUUUUGUUGUAAAAGAGUAUUCGGAAGGUGGCUUUCUUUUCGGAGAAAGUGUUUAUAGCCCUAUACUUCUACAAUCGGAGAGAUUGAGGUCUGCAGCGUAGAUCCUUCGGGUUAGAUACACUUGUGCUAAGUUAUAGCUUUUCAUAGACAACUUGUUGACUAUGUUUAGUCUUGUAGCUUACUCGCUUGUGCUAUUU